rnacentral:RNase_P_RNA from 1 species
GUCAGCCGGACAGCCGCUGCCGGACUCGCGUGCUUUGGCAUACGGUCUCCGGGGGAGGAAAGUCCGAGCUCCGCAGGACAGGGUGCCAGGUAACGCCUGGGGGAUGCCGCAAGGCGUCAACGAACAGCGCCACAGAAAACAGACCGCCUGCAAAGGCAAGGGUGAAAAGGUGCGGCAAGAGCGCACCGCCCGGGCAGCAAUGUUCCGGGGCAGGGCAAGCUCCACCCGGAGCAAGAUCAAAUAGGCCUCCUGUGACGUGGUCCGCGUCGGGGGCGGGUUGAUUGCUUGAACCCGGGAGCGAUCCCGGGUCUAGAGGAAUGGCUGUCGCUGCUUUGCAGAACAGAACUCGGCUUACAGGCUGGCCCG